UGUAACGCGUGAGCUCACGCAGAGGGC
rnacentral:piRNA from 1 species